GACAGAGGGUGCAAACGUUGUUCGGAAUUACUGGGCGUAAAGCGCGUGCAGGCGGCAGGGUGUGUCGGAUGUGAAAUCCCGUGGCUCAACCACGGAAGUGCACCCGAAACUACCCAGCUCGAGUCUCGGAGAGGAAGGUGGAAUGCUUGGUGUAGAGGUGAAAUUCGUAGAUAUCAAGCGGAACACCGGUGGCGAAGGCGGCCUUCUGGACGAUGACUGACGCUGAGACGCGAAAGCGUGGGGAGCAAACAGG
rnacentral:rRNA from 1 species